rnacentral:rRNA from 1 species
AGUGAACGCUGGCGGUAGGCCUAACACAUGCAAGUCGAACGGCAGCACAGUAAGAGCUUGCUCUUACGGGUGGCGAGUGGCGGACGGGUGAGGAAUACAUCGGAAUCUACUUUUUCGUGGGGGAUAACGUAGGGAAACUUACGCUAAUACCGCAUACGACCUACGGGUGAAAGCAGGGGAUCUUCGGACCUUGCGCGAUUGAAUGAGCCGAUGUCGGAUUAGCUAGUUGGCGGGGUAAAGGCCCACCAAGGCGACGAUCCGUAGCUGGUCUGAGAGGAUGAUCAGCCGCACUGGAACUGAGACACGGUCCAGAGUCCUACGGGAGGCAGCAGUGGGGAAUAUUGGACAAUGGGCGCAAGCCUGAUCCAGCCAUACCGCGUGGGUGAAGAAGGCCUUCGGGUUGUAAAGCCCUUUUGUUGGGAAAGAAAAGCAGCAGGUUAAUACCCCGCUGUUCUGACGGUACCCAAAGAAUAAGCACCGGCUAACUUCGUG